rnacentral:SRP_RNA from 1 species
GCCGGGCGCGGUGGCUCACGCCUGUAAUCCCAGCACUUUGGGAGGCCGAGGCGGGAGGAUCACCUGAGGUCAGGAGUUUGAGACCAGCCUGGCCAACAUGGUGAAACCCUGUCUCUA